UGUCGUUCAUAAUUAAAUGAAAAAAAAAAACCAACACAACACGGACCGGCUGCUGAUAAAAAUUAAAAUGGAUGAAAAAAAAAGAUCGACGGAUUGAAGUAAAACCUGGAGUGACCAAGGAAGCACGUUGGGAUCAACGGAUAAACAGGUUCUCCGCACGCAAAGCAUGCGGCUACACCCAAUACUGAAGCCGCAGUGGUAGAAAACACCCAAAAAGGAGUCUUCGUGGAAAACCCCUAGUUCAAGGUAAUCGGAUUACCAGAUCCUGUAAAAACUAUGUGUUACUAACAACAAUUCAAUUUAUAAAGAAAAAUGGUAGCUCUCCCUCAUAUCAUCCAGGACAAACAAAAAACAUGGUAGUUAAAAUCUCGGUAUCAGGAAAUUGAAAAGACUGGGUUUGUGUUUGCCAACAAACCAGCCUGUCGGCUAAUCGGCGUGAAACAACGUCCCUACUUGCCGGACUCAACAGGAGAACCGGUCUAUUGUCCUGAAGAGAGGACUGGCAAACACAAAUUGGGCUAUUGCAGUGCUAUUGAAUGAAAUGGAUGUUUCCUGUUCCAUCUCUAUGGCCACAAGGCUAUGUCGAAGGCCAUCCAUACAUACUGCCUACUACAGACUCAGUGUCGCACAUAAGCAAUGGGCAGGAAACUCUGUCACAAUUAUAUUCUUCGCUUUCCUUGGGGCUUGCGACCAAUGUUGUAUUAAAACAUUAACUGUCGAGACACACAAGUACACUCACAAAGGACACAUCGUAACAGCCACUAUAAAAAAAAUGAAACGGUCACCCGAAUUCUCGGGCCCCAUGUUGCGGGCGCCAUUCUUGUCGCGCUCCCGAAGGAACCCUGCUUUGCUUGGAGGGGAGGAAAUGAGCUGACGGGCGCUGGCUGCUGGCGUUCGAGCACCGGCUGUGGCUCAGUCGAAAAGGGCGCGGUUCUUGCCAGUUCACCUCCUCCAAAGCAGGUGACAAAAAACAAAAAUCAACCAGCUGAUGGAGGGACACUGAUACCUACACAACAACCAUGAACAAUACUAGACAGACACACACUACCAUGUUGACACCACUUAGCAUUCAGCUGGUGUCUGGACGCACCCACCCCACCAUGGUGCCCUCUUGCGUCAUAAUCUAUGAGGACACCCCAAAUACACCUGUUUGUCCUGGACCGCAAUAUGGGUCAUCGAAUCUUCUUUCUGGUCUCGCCUAGUGAUGGCCUUGAUGUCGGAGCUGGGAUUGCCUAGCUGUAGCACCAGUCCUGCAAUGGUACCGACCCUGUUUGUCGUCUACCCUAUUUCCUGUCCGUCCGUCUGAUGGAUGUUGUUGGUCAACGCUAAAACAAGGUGGACAUCUAUGAUGGAGCAAGGGCCCCCACGUACCUUUUACUGAAACCUUCCUGGCCUAUGGGUGAGCUCAACCUAAGCUGAAAGGGCGCUUCCUAAUUUCCUGGCGCUAAAUAAAAUACAAGAAAUGAUGUCAGCCCUGCCUCAACAACUUUUCUAUAAUGGUUUCCUUAUUUAAAACCUUUAUUUUCAGAAGUUUUGUGUCAGGUAGCUGUCUGUCCGUCCGUCUAAGUCAAGCGUAUUGUCCUGUUUUAUGUAUGGGAAAAGGGCUCUGAUAGAGGGUACCUUUGGCGUUGUCGGCUGACCAACGCUGUGCUGUUAUCGCCUGGUUGGCUGAUGUUCCAACGUCGGGACAGUGGAGGUGGAGUUUUGGGUUUUUUAAGUAUUUACUUUCUUCGUUUUAUCUUAUUUAUUUACAGAUAACUUUAUUUUCUUUUCUUUUCAGGUUAAUGUUUUUUUUUCUCUUUUCAGGUAUCGUUUUCUUUUCAGGUGUUUAGUGUUUUCUUCCCUUACAGGUUUUUACGUUCCUGUCUUUUUCGCCUUCUAACAACUUUCAAUUUUUAUCGUCUUUUAUUUCUUUAAGCAUUUUAAUGUUUUUAAUUUCCUUAUAGGUUUUAACUUCAGGUGCUUUACUCUUAUCAACAAUUUUGUUCGGAUUUUAGCCAAUGUUAAUUAUUCAUUUCUUUCGUUUCAGGUGUUAAUAUCUCUUUCUUUUCAGUCUUUUCUAAAACUUAACACAGCCAUUAAAUAUUCUUCAAAGCUUGUUUUUUAGUGUUUAAUUUUAAGUUCUUUUAUUUGCUUUUUAUCAAUUAGACAAACAAACGCUUUGAUAUUCAAUAAAACAACACUUUUUCACCGCGGUU